AUGGACCCGCGGCAGAUGGCCCGGUUUAGGGUUCCGGGGCGGGCGGCGCGCACGGGAUUAGGUGAAUUAGGGAGCCGGAGCAGUGCCGCCAUCGCCGCACCAUGGAGCCCCCCGCCGACCCCGCCGACUCUGCCGACCCCGCCGACUCUGCCGACCCCGCGCGCGUCCCGCAGCUCGGCAAGUGGGCGCUGGUGCGCAGCCUGAACCAGGCGUUCAAGACCUACGCUGUCCUGCCGGGGGACUAUGUGUGGAUGGACCUGAGAUCGGGGCAGGAGUUUGAUGUGCCCAUCGGGGCAGUGGUGAAGCUCUGCGACUCUGGGCAGAUCCAGGUGGUGGACGAUGAAGGCAAUGAACACUGGAUCUCCCCGCAGAACGCAACGCACAUCAAGCCUAUGCACCCCACGUCGGUCCACGGCGUGGAGGAUAUGAUCCGCCUAGGGGACCUCAACGAGGCGGGCAUCUUGCGCAACCUGCUUAUCCGCUACCGAGACCACCUCAUCUACACCAACUGCGGAGGGCGGACGUAUACGGGCUCCAUCCUGGUGGCCGUGAACCCCUACCAGCUGCUCUCCAUCUACUCACCAGAGCACAUCCGCCAGUAUACCAACAAGAAGAUUGGGGAGAUGCCCCCCCACAUCUUUGCCAUUGCUGACAACUGCUACUUCAACAUGAAACGCAAUAGCCGUGACCAGUGCUGCAUCAUCAGUGGGGAAUCUGGGGCUGGGAAGACGGAGAGCACAAAGCUGAUCCUGCAGUUCCUGGCAGCCAUCAGUGGACAACACUCAUGGAUUGAGCAGCAGGUCUUGGAGGCCACCCCCAUUCUGGAAGCAUUCGGGAAUGCCAAGACCAUCCGCAACGAUAACUCAAGCCGUUUCGGAAAGUACAUCGACAUCCACUUCAACAAGCGGGGCGCCAUCGAGGGCGCCAAGAUUGAGCAGUACCUGCUGGAGAAGUCGCGCGUCUGUCGCCAGGCCCCAGAUGAAAGGAACUACCACGUGUUCUACUGCAUGCUGGAGGGCAUGAGUGAAGAUCAGAAGAAGAAGCUGGGCUUGGGCCAGGCCUCUGACUACAACUACUUGGCCAUGGGUAACUGCAUAACCUGUGAGGGCCGGGUGGACAGCCAGGAGUACGCCAACAUCCGUUCCGCCAUGAAGGUGCUCAUGUUCACUGACACCGAGAACUGGGAGAUCUCGAAGCUCCUGGCCGCCAUCCUGCACCUGGGCAACCUGCAGUAUGAGGCCCGCACAUUUGAAAAUCUGGAUGCCUGUGAGGUCCUCUUCUCGCCGUCGCUGGCCACAGCUGCAUCCCUGCUUGAGGUGAAUCCUCCAGACCUGAUGAGCUGCCUGACCAGCCGCACCCUCAUCACCCGUGGGGAGACGGUGUCCACCCCACUGAGCAGGGAGCAGGCACUGGACGUACGCGACGCCUUCGUCAAGGGGAUCUACGGGCGGCUGUUCGUGUGGAUUGUGGACAAGAUCAACGCUGCAAUUUACAAGCCUCCCUCCCAGGAUGUGAAGAACUCUCGCAGGUCCAUCGGCCUCCUGGACAUCUUUGGGUUCGAGAACUUUGCUGUGAACAGCUUCGAGCAGCUCUGCAUCAACUUUGCCAAUGAGCACCUGCAGCAGUUCUUUGUGAGACACGUGUUCAAGCUGGAGCAGGAGGAGUAUGACCUGGAGAGCAUCGACUGGCUGCACAUCGAGUUCACCGACAACCAGGACGCCCUGGACAUGAUCGCCAACAAGCCCAUGAAUAUCAUCUCCCUCAUCGAUGAGGAGAGCAAGUUCCCCAAGGGCACGGACACCACCAUGUUACACAAGCUGAACUCCCAGCACAAGCUCAAUGCGAACUACAUUCCCCCCAAGAACAACCACGAGACCCAGUUUGGCAUCAACCAUUUUGCAGGUGUCGUCUACUAUGAAACCCAAGGCUUCCUGGAGAAGAACCGAGACACCCUGCAUGGGGACAUUAUCCAACUGGUCCACUCCUCCAGGAACAAGUUCAUCAAGCAGAUAUUCCAGGCCGACGUUGCCAUGGGCGCCGAGACCAGGAAGCGCUCGCCCACACUCAGCAGCCAGUUCAAGCGGUCGCUGGAGCUGCUGAUGCGCACGCUGGGUGCCUGCCAGCCCUUCUUUGUGCGAUGCAUCAAGCCCAAUGAGUUCAAGAAGCCCAUGCUGUUUGACCGGCACCUGUGUGUGCGCCAGCUGCGGUACUCAGGGAUGAUGGAGACCAUCCGAAUCCGCCGAGCUGGCUACCCCAUCCGCUACAGCUUCGUGGAGUUCGUGGAGCGGUACCGCGUGCUGCUGCCGGGUGUGAAGCCAGCCUACAAGCAGGGUGACCUUCGCGGGACGUGCCAGCGCAUGGCUGAGACUGUGCUGGGCACCCACGAUGACUGGCAGAUAGGCAAAACCAAGAUCUUUCUGAAGGACCACCAUGACAUGCUGCUGGAAGUGGAGCGGGACAAAGCCAUCACUGACAGAGUCAUCCUCCUCCAGAAGGUCAUCCGGGGGUUCAAAGACAGGUCUAACUUCCUGAAGCUGAAGAACGCUGCCACGCUGAUCCAGAGGCACUGGCGGGGUCACAACUGCAGGAAGAACUACGGGCUGAUGCGUCUGGGCUUCCUGCGGCUGCAGGCUCUACACCGCUCCCGGAAGCUGCACCAGCAGUACCGCCUGGCCCGCCAGCGCAUCAUCCAGUUCCAGGCCCGCUGCCGCGCUUAUCUGGUGCGCAAGGCCUUCCGCCACCGCCUCUGGGCUGUGCUUACCGUGCAGGCCUAUGCCCGGGGCAUGAUCGCCCGCAGGCUGCACCAACGCCUCAGGGCUGAGUACCUGCGGCGCCUCGAGGCUGAGAAAAUGCGGCUGGCAGAGGAAGAGAAGCUCCGGAAGGAGAUGAGUGCCAAGAAGGCCAAGGAGGAGGCGGAGCGCAAGCAUCAGGAGCGCCUGGCCCAGCUGGCUCGUGAGGACGCCGAGCGGGAACUGAAGGAGAAGGAGGCUGCUCGGCGGAAGAAGGAGCUCCUAGAGCAGAUGGAAAGGGCCCGCCACGAGCCCGUCAAUCACUCAGACAUGGUGGACAAGAUGUUUGGCUUCCUGGGGACUUCAGGUGGCCUGCCAGGCCAGGAGGGCCAGGCACCUAGUGGCUUUGAGGACCUGGAGCGAGGGCGGAGGGAGAUGGUGGAGGAGGACCUGGAUGCAGCCCUGCCCCUGCCUGAUGAGGAUGAGGAGGACCUCUCUGAGUAUAAAUUUGCCAAGUUUGCUGCCACCUACUUCCAGGGGACAACCACGCACUCCUACACCCGGCGGCCACUCAAACAGCCACUGCUCUACCAUGACGACGAGGGUGACCAGCUGGCAGCCCUGGCGGUCUGGAUCACCAUCCUCCGCUUCAUGGGGGACCUCCCGGAGCCCAAGUACCACACAGCCAUGAGUGAUGGCAGCGAGAAGAUCCCUGUGAUGACCAAGAUUUACGAGACCCUGGGCAAGAAGACGUACAAGAGGGAGCUGCAGGCCCUGCAGGGCGAGGGUGAGGCCCAGCUCCCUGAGGGCCAGAAGAGGAGCAGUGUGAGACACAAGCUGGUGCAUUUGACUCUGAAAAAGAAGUCCAAGCUCACAGAGGAGGUGACCAAGAGGCUGCAUGACGGGGAGUCCACGGUCCAGGGCAACAGCAUGCUGGAGGACCGGCCCACCUCCAACCUGGAGAAGCUGCACUUCAUCAUCGGCAAUGGCAUCCUGCGGCCAGCUCUCCGGGAUGAGAUCUACUGCCAGAUCAGCAAGCAGCUGACCCACAACCCCUCCAAGAGCAGCUAUGCCCGGGGCUGGAUUCUCGUGUCUCUCUGCGUGGGCUGUUUUGCCCCCUCCGAGAAGUUUGUCAAGUACCUGCGGAACUUCAUCCACGGGGGCCCGCCCGGCUACGCCCCGUACUGUGAGGAGCGUCUGAGGAGGACCUUUGUCAAUGGGACACGGACACAGCCGCCUAGCUGGCUGGAGCUGCAGGCCACCAAGUCCAAGAAGCCAAUCAUGCUGCCCGUGACAUUCAUGGACGGGACCACCAAGACCCUGCUGACAGACUCGGCAACCACGGCCAAGGAGCUCUGCAACGCGCUGGCCGACAAGAUCUCUCUCAAGGACCGCUUCGGGUUCUCCCUCUACAUUGCCCUGUUUGACAAGGUAUCCUCCCUGGGCAGCGGCAGCGACCAUGUCAUGGACGCCAUCUCCCAGUGCGAGCAGUAUGCCAAGGAGCAGGGUGCCCAGGAGCGCAACGCCCCCUGGAGGCUCUUCUUCCGCAAAGAGGUCUUCACACCCUGGCACAGCCCCUCUGAGGACAACGUGGCCACCAACCUUAUCUACCAGCAGGUGGUGCGAGGAGUCAAGUUUGGGGAGUACAGGUGUGAGAAGGAGGACGACCUGGCUGAGCUGGCCUCCCAGCAGUACUUUGUGGACUAUGGCUCUGAGAUGAUCCUGGAGCGCCUCCUGAACCUCGUACCCACCUACAUCCCCGACCGCGAGAUCACGCCCCUGAAGACGCUGGAGAAGUGGGCCCAGUUGGCCAUUGCCGCCCACAAGAAGGGGAUUUAUGCCCAGAGGAGAACUGAUGCCCAGAAGGUCAAAGAGGAUGUGGUCAAUUACGCCCGCUUUAAGUGGCCCUUACUCUUCUCCAGGUUUUAUGAAGCCUACAAAUUCUCAGGCCCCAGCCUCCCCAAGAACGAUGUGAUCGUGGCUGUCAACUGGACAGGCGUGUACUUUGUGGAUGAGCAGGAGCAGGUACUUCUGGAGCUGUCCUUCCCAGAGAUCAUGGCCGUGUCCAGCAGCAGGGGAGCGAAAACGACAGCCCCCAGCUUCACACUGGCCACCAUCAAGGGGGACGAAUACACCUUCACCUCUAGCAAUGCUGAGGACAUUCGUGACCUGGUGGUCACCUUCCUAGAGGGGCUCCGGAAGAGAUCUAAGUAUGUUGUGGCCCUGCAGGAUAACCCCAACCCCGCGGGCGAGGAGUCAGGCUUCCUCAGCUUUGCCAAGGGAGACCUCAUCAUCUUGGACCACGACACGGGUGAGCAGGUCAUGAACUCGGGCUGGGCCAACGGCAUCAAUGAGAGGACCAAGCAGCGUGGGGACUUCCCCACUGACUGUGUGUACGUCAUGCCCACUGUCACCAUGCCACCGCGGGAGAUUGUGGCCCUGGUCACCAUGACUCCCGACCAGCGGCAGGACGUCGUCCGGCUCUUGCAGCUGCGAACGGCAGAGCCUGAGGUGCGUGCCAAGCCCUACACGCUGGAGGAGUUCUCCUACGACUACUUCAGGCCCCCACCUAAGCACACGCUGAGCCGCGUCAUGGUGUCCAAGGCCCGAGGCAAGGACCGGCUAUGGAGCCACACGCGGGAGCCGCUCAAGCAGGCGCUGCUCAAGAAGCUCCUGGGCAGUGAGGAGCUCUCGCAGGAGGCCUGCCUGGCCUUCAUUGCUGUGCUCAAGUACAUGGGCGACUACCCGUCCAAGAGGACACGGUCUGUCAACGAGCUCACCGACCAGAUUUUUGAGGGUCCCCUGAAAGCCGAGCCCCUGAAGGAUGAGGCGUACGUGCAGAUCCUGAAGCAGCUGACCGACAACCACAUCAGGUACAGCGAGGAGCGAGGUUGGGAGCUGCUCUGGCUGUGCACGGGCCUCUUCCCACCCAGCAACAUCCUCCUGCCCCACGUGCAGCGCUUCCUGCAGUCCCGAAAGCACUGCCCACUAGCCAUCGACUGCCUGCAGCGGCUCCAGAAAGCCCUGAGAAAUGGGUCCCGGAAGUACCCUCCACACCUGGUGGAGGUGGAGGCCAUCCAGCACAAGACCACCCAGAUUUUCCACAAGGUCUACUUCCCUGACGACACUGACGAGGCCUUCGAAGUGGAGUCCAGCACCAAGGCCAAGGACUUCUGCCAGAACAUCGCCACCAGGCUGCUCCUCAAGUCCUCAGAGGGAUUCAGCCUCUUUGUCAAAAUUGCAGACAAGGUCAUCAGCGUGCCUGAGAAUGACUUCUUCUUUGACUUUGUUCGACACUUGACAGACUGGAUAAAGAAAGCUCGGCCCAUCAAGGACGGAAUUGUGCCCUCACUCACCUACCAGGUGUUCUUCAUGAAGAAGCUGUGGACCACCACGGUGCCAGGGAAGGACCCCAUGGCCGAUUCCAUCUUCCACUAUUACCAGGAGUUGCCCAAGUAUCUCCGAGGCUACCACAAGUGCACGCGGGAGGAGGUGCUGCAGCUGGGGGCGCUGAUCUACAGGGUCAAGUUCGAGGAGGACAAGUCCUACUUCCCCAGCAUCCCCAAGCUGCUGCGGGAGCUGGUGCCCCAGGACCUUAUCCGACAGGUCUCGCCUGAUGACUGGAAGCGGUCCAUCGUCGCCUACUUCAACAAGCACGCAGGGAAGUCCAAGGAGGAGGCCAAGCUGGCCUUCCUGAAGCUCAUCUUCAAGUGGCCCACAUUUGGCUCAGCCUUCUUCGAGGUGAAGGUACACCAUGGGCUUCUCAGAACAGAGGAGGAGGGGAACAGGGCAUUGAGAAGGCACAGAGACUCCUCCCCAGGACUGUGGGAAACAGCCAUGGCCUUGGACACCUGCCCUGCAAACUACAGAGCCAAACUUCCCUGAGAUCCUUCUAAUUGCCAUCAACAAGUAUGGGGUCAGCCUCAUCGAUCCCAGAACAAAGGACAUCCUCACCACUCACCCCUUCACCAAGAUCUCCAACUGGAGCAGCGGCAACACCUACUUCCACAUCACCAUUGGAAACUUGGUGCGCGGGAGCAAAUUGCUCUGCGAGACAUCACUGGGCUACAAGAUGGAUGACCUCCUGACUUCCUACAUUAGCCAGAUGCUCACAGCCAUGAGCAAACAGCGGGGCUCCAGGAGUGGCAAGUGAACAGUCAGCGGGAGGUGCUGGUUCCAAGCCUGCUCUCGAGGCAGUGGGCUCAGGCCCAUCAGCUACCCCUGCAGCUGGGGAAGACUUCUGCCAUCCUGGCAGUGAGGCUGGGCUGGCCAGCCACCAUGGACCAUACCGACUGGGCCUCUGAUGUUCUUCCAGUGAGGCAUCUCUCUGGGAUGCAGAACUUCCCUCCAUCCACCCCUCUGGCACCUGGGUUGGUCUAGUCUGAGCUUGCUGUGGCCUUCCUGGUUAUGAGAGCCUAUGAUCCUUAGAUGUGUCUCCUGUUUCAGACCAGCCCCACCAUGCAACUUCCUUUGACUUUCUGUGUACCACAGGGAUAGAGGAAUUAAGAGGACAAUCUAGCUCUCUAUACUUGGAACCACCAAACCAAAUGUGCAUUGAAUACUCUGAAACUGAAGGGACUGGAUCUACAGGUGGGAUGAGGGGGACAGACCACUUUUCUAUAUUGCAGUGUGAAUGUUGGGCCCCUGCUCAAGUCUCUCCUGAUCACCUCAGGGCAUAAAGCAUGUUUCAUCCUCUGGC